rnacentral:rRNA from 1 species
GACAGAGGGUGCGAACGUUGUUCGGAAUUACUGGGCGUAAAGCGCAUGUAGGCGGCAGCGCAAGUCGGGCGUGAAAUCCCACGGCUCAACCGUGGAAGUGCACUCGAAACUGCGCAGCUAGAGUCCUGGAGAGGAAGGUGGAAUGGCUUGGUGUAGAGGUGAAAUUCGUAGAUAUCAAGCGGAACACCGGUGGCGAAGGACGGC